AUUGAACGCUGGCGGCAGGCCUAACACAUGCAAGUCGAGCGGCAGAACGGUACUUGCUCGCGGUUUCGGCGGCCGACGGGCGGGUAAGGCCUAGGUACAUGCCUAUCUACGUUGUCUAACGUGCGAACGUAGGCGCACAUACGCCAAUACCGCAGACGGCGUACGUGUGGGAUCUUCGGAUCUUCCGACCUCACAUGAGCCUAUGUCGGAUUAGCGAGUUGGUGGGGUAAAGGCCUACCAAGGCGACGAUCCGUAGCUGGUCUGAGAGGAUGAUCAGUCACACUGGAACUGAGACACGGUCCAGACUCCUACGGGAGGCAGCAGUGGGGAAUAUUGGACAAUGGGCGCAAGCCUGAUCCAGCCAUGCCGCGUGUGUGAAGAAGGUCUUCGGAUUGUAAAGCCCUUUUGUUGGGAAAGAAAAGCAGUAGGUUAAUACCUUGCUGUUUUGACGGUACCAAAAGAAUAAGCACCGGCUAACUUCGUG
rnacentral:rRNA from 1 species